rnacentral:rRNA from 1 species
ACGAAGCGGUGGAGCAUGUGGUUAAUUCGAUGCAACGCGAAGAACCUUACCUGGGCUUGACAUCCCGGGAAUCCCCUGGAAACAGGGGAGUGGCCCUUCGGGAACCCGGUGACAGGUGCUGCAUGGCUGUCGUCAGCUCGUGUCGUGAGAUGUUGGGUUAAGUUCCGCAACGAGCGCAACCCUUGUCUUUAAUUGCCAUCAUUUAGUUGGGCACUUUAAAGAGACUGCCGGUGUUAAGCCGGAGGAAGGUGGGGAUGACGUCAAGUCCUCAUGGCCCCUAUGUCCAGGGCUACACACGUGCUACAAUGGGCGAUACAGAGUGACGCGAAGCCGCGAGGUGGAGCAAAUCGCAGAAAAUCGCUCUCAGUUCGGAUUGGAGUCUGAAACCCGACUCCAUGAAGGUGGAAUCGCUAGUAAUCGCGCAUCAGCAUGGCGCGGUGAAUACGUUCCCGGGCCUU